rnacentral:rRNA from 1 species
AUUGAACGCUGGCGGUAGGCCUAACACAUGCAAGUCGAACGGCAGCACAGUAAGAGCUUGCGCUUACGGGUGGCGAGUGGCGGGCGGGUGAGGAGUACAUCGGAAUCUACGUUGUCGGGGGGGAACACGUAGGGAAGGUUACGCUAAUACCGCAUACGACCUACGGGUGAGAGCAGGGGAUCUUCGGACCUUGCGAGAGUGAAUGAGCAGAUGGCGGAUUCGCGAGGGGGGGGGGUAGAGUCCCACCAACGCGGGGCUCCCUAGGUGGUCUGAGAGGGUGUUCAGCCACACUGUAACUGUGACACGCUCCAGACUCCUACGGGAGGCACCAGUGUGGAAUAUUGGACAAUGGGCGCAAGCCUGAUCCAGCCAUACCGCGUGGGUGAAGAAGGCCUUCGGGUUUUAAAGCCCUUUUGUUGGGAAAGAAAAGCAGCAGGUUAUUACCCCGCUGUUCUGACGGUACCCAAAGAAUAAGCACCGGCUAACUUCGUG